CGUGUAGGCGGCUGAGCAAGUCAGAUGUGAAAUCCCUGGGCUUAACCCAGGAAGUGCAUUUGAAACUGCUUAGCUUGAGUAAGGAAGAGGGAAGUGGAAUUCCUGGUGUAGAGGUGAAAUUCGUAGAUAUCAGGAGGAACACCGGUGGCGAAGGCGACUUCCUGGUCCUAUACUGACGCUGAGACGCGAGAGCGUGGGGGAGCAAACAG
rnacentral:rRNA from 1 species